rnacentral:lncRNA from 1 species
UCAGCUUGCCUAUAACGUGAUUAGCAAAUCUAGUAUUCUUAUAAAGCAGAGCUUCAAAUUUUUAAGAUCAGUUUCUCUCCUAAGCAACACACAAAUAGUGGAAUACAAAUAAUUGAAACUCUGUAAUUUCUACGAGUUGGGUUAAGCAAGUAAGAGUUAGAAGAAUACUCAAAUUUGGGGUUAUUAAGGAAGAAGAGCUGGAACAAAAGAAAACUGACGCCAACGACACAGAGACUUAGAAAUUUAAAGGUAAUAUCUCUCUAUACAGUAUACUGAGUAUAGUAAAGAUGCAUGUAUGUGAAAGAAGUGUGUUAAGUUUUGGUUGAUGAAAAUCUAUAUGAGAUAUAUAUCUGUGAUGUUGGGUUAAAUGGUUGAAUAAAUUUAACUGAUAAGACAAUUGGUAAGUUUAACUUUCAUAACAACUGACCAUGCAUGGGUUAUUGAAAUCCACUGUUAGUUUGUUGAUAUCAAACUUUUAAAAUAAUGGAAGGCUAUUAUAUAUUUAUUUGUUUUGUUUACAGUUAAUACGUUUGGCUUAACUGUGAAACAAACUGCUAUGGACUGGAAUUGAAUAGAGGAGAUUAGGCUUGGUUUCGUGGAGUAAUAAGGGAGCUAAACUGGGAUUUUAGAGCAAAUCAAUAGCUAUGAAAAGGGUGUUUUAAAAUUGUGCACAUAAGGUGCUUGUUAAAAUGCUUCAAUUAACUGUUUUGACUAAAAACCAAAUAUUUGAUGGAACUAAAGCUUGAGUUAUAUAUAUAUACACCUUGUAUGUGGAUAAGUAAAGUGUUGUAACAUACUAAAUGGAAGCGAAAAGUAAAUUUUAACUAAAACCAAAUGUUAAAAUUUAGCAUGUCAAGCACUUAUGCACACUGUUUGGGGGCAGCUGAACAAACUAAAUAAAAUACAAGCCUAAUGUUUUCUUGAGUAGGCUAGUAUAAUACUGAGGAAUGGGUAUAAAUAAACUUAUGAAAUAGAGUUUAUAAAAUUUGUAAAGGAGGGGAUUAGAUGAGUUGGUCGGAGCUGCUGCAGGCAGCAGCAGCCAGCGCCCUGCGCUGUGCUGUAGAGCGCUGUAGAGCCGACAGGUACUUUGACACGCUAGUUUAAUUUGCAUAGAUUGUUGAUAGCGGUAGUUGGUGUGCUACUUUAGUAUGUGAGCAUGUUGUAUAUAUCAUGCCAAAGGUAUGUAUUGAUUUCAAUAAGGAAAUAGAUUACUAGAAGUGAGAAAAAAAAUUAAGAAACUGCUGCUGUGUGAUAGCCACAAAUAGUAGCUACUGCCUAUUGGCAGCAGCAAGUAGUAGCAAGUUCCAGCAGCAGAUUGAUAUGGAGAUUUGAAUUGGGCCUAUGGUGGCUUCAUGCUAGUUUAUAAUGUGUUGAAUAAUUUGCUUAUAAAUCUCUAACACAAGGAAAUACAUGAGUUAUUAAAAAAAAGAGUUAAUAUAAUUGAGUUAUCAGAUGAGGAGUUUGGUAUUUACCAAAGCAGGCAUCAAAGUAAUAGAAGCUGCUACUCAACGGCAGCAGCAGUUGUAAUGGCUGUUUGGGCAAUGCAUGGGGGAAAACGUCCUUGCACUCCUAAAUGUUAGAUAUUAAUUACCCAUGAUAUCUGGCAAAUAUUUUCUUAAUGGGGUAAAUACAUCACCUAUCUAAUAUCUAAAACUUAUUUAUAAAUGGAUCAAAGAUGUGGCGAAUUAAAACUAAGUAAUGGGAUAUGAUUGCUGUCUUGUACAGCUGCAGAGCAGUGGCUGGAAUGGGGGGUUUCUAUUUGAGCUCUCUGACGGUAUAGGUGGAUGAUUUUAAUAAUUUAAUUAGCAUUCUAUUUAAAUAGAAAAUAUGUAAAUUUCUAUACUUUCAAAGAAUGGCUUGAAUACCUAAGUUAUAAAGAAGAUUGCAAAGUAUAUUUAUAACAAGAAAGAAGAGAAAUAUGAACUAAAAUCAUAUAAGGGUUAUGAACUGGGAAUAAGUCAAACCUAUAAAAGAAAGAAAUGGCUAUUGUAAGAAUAUGGAUGAUGUAUUUGAAAAAUAUAUAAAAUAUCUUAAAUACAAAAACAUAAACUAAAAACAAGAUCACUCUGAUUAUGUGAUAUGUGAACAUACAAGCCAUAUGACUUGGCUAUUUAAGCUAAUAUGUUGUAAAUGUAAAUAAUUGUGUAGGAUUUGUGAGAAUACACAAGUUAAAUUGAAAUUGUACCAAUAGUUUACAAAUAAGGCAAGUAUCUAAAUCGUACUCUUUAUUGAGCAAGUAUUAUGAGAUUAUUCAUAUAUGGAUAGGUUUUUUAAAUUCUGAAUUGUCUUUCAUUAUUUAUGAAUAAUAUAAGGUUAAAUAACCUUUUUAUUUCAAUCAGCUUCAAAAGAUUGGGUGAUGUAUUUUCAUGUAUAAUUCAAUAUGUAUGAGCAGAUUACAAAGAAGAAGUCUGAGCCAUCACUACAAAAAAAUGGUGAUUUUGUAACAAACAGUUUUCGUUGUUAAAUGUGCGAAAUUUCAUUGUCAAAUGUCAUUUGCAACGAUUUUUCGAUCGUUGGAUAUUUUGUUGCGCAGUGAGCGUUGCUAAUUGUACGAAUUUUUUUUUUCGUUACAGAAAGUAAUAUAUUUUGCAACGAAAUUUUGUUUUCGUGUAAAUUCGUAAAUCAUUUAGUAACGAAAUAUUUUGUAGCAAAUUUAUUAAGAAAUUGUUACUGAAAAAUAAUUUUCGUUGCAAAAUACGCCUAAUUGGCAAUGAAAAGAAUCUUUUUAUUUUUCAACAAAGAUAAAAUUUGUUGCAUUUGAUACACAUUUGCCAACGACGUUUCCC